rnacentral:lncRNA from 1 species
GCAGACAGCCUCAAGGACCAAGCAAUCGCCAGAGUCUCUGGUUCUCAGGUAUGAUCUAGCUGUUGUUACUAUUUUAAUGCUGACUUAACGCAUUGAGUUCGUAUUAUUAAAAAUAUGCUGACGAAUACAGACACUGAGCAUUUUAUAGAGCAACUUUUCAUAUGAUGUUUGGUCACUUUCUCAAGCACCCUGGAAGGAGGAAUUGUACUACUUACAAAUAAAUCUGUGGCUUAUUAAUUUGUAUGAAGUUAGCACAGAAGCUGGACUCUUUGAUAUUCUGCUCCUUGUUCAGAGCUUCAUUAAAGCUUUCCUUCCAGAAGGCAUGACUAAAGCCUUUUGGCUUGCAUCUACAGUUCUACAUAACUUGCAAAUGUUUAGGGGAAAAAAAAGCUUGGGAAGUUUUGAUACUUAAUUACAAGAUUAGGUCAACUACUCUAAUACCACAGAUUUUCAAAUUCUCAUUAGAUACUUUUGAUGUUGGGGGUCUGCUUCUCAAGAGAGGAGUCCUCAGAAGCUCAGCAGUGAUGCAGAUCCUCCGACAGAUGACUGGACAGGUGAAAUAGUCCAUCUACCUUAGGAAAUAGAAGAAAAUAGAGAAGCCUUCUCUCGCUUCCGUUCAGAUACCAAGGAACCUAUGUCAGCGUCGGAGUGAAUCUACAAAGGUCCUUCCAAAGAUUGUAGAUGUUAGCAACAACCCCCAGCCCCCAAAACCAACGGAAGUGACCCCUCAAUUCAGUACCACAAGCAGCUGGGGGCAAGGCAAAAUCCUCAGAACGAGAGAGCAUAUGUGGUUGCGAAUCAUCUCUACAGGAACUUUGGGAAUUGGGCACACACAGAGUUCAAACAUGACCCGGCAUGUGGAGUGGUCAUGUUUGUUACUGUAAACAAAUUCUCUCCUACAUAUAACAUACCUACAUAUAACAUAAAUAAUAUAUAAA